GUCCAGACUCCUACGGGAGGCAGCAGUGGGGAAUAUUGCACAAUGGGGGAAACCCUGAUGCAGCGACGCCGCGUGAGUGAAGAAGUAUUUCGGUAUGUAAAGCUCUAUCAGCAGGGAAGAAAAUGACGGUACCUGACUAAGAAGCCCCGGCUAACUACGUGCCAGCAGCCGCGGUAAUACGUAGGGGGCAAGCGUUAUCCGGAUUUACUGGGUGUAAAGGGAGCGUAGACGGCAGAGCAAGUCUGAAGUGAAAGCCCGCGGCCCAACUGCGGGACUGCUUUGGAAACUGCCCGGCUAGAGUGCUGGAGAGGUAAGCGGAAUUCCUAGUGUAGCGGUGAAAUGCGUAGAUAUUAGGAGGAACACCGGCGGCGAAGGCGGCCUGCUGGACCGCGACUGACGUUGAGGCUCGAAAGCGUGGGGAGCGAACAGGAUUAGAUACCCCGGUA
rnacentral:rRNA from 1 species